AAGGAAAUUCUGAGGCACCACUCCGGGGCACUGUUGGGUUGUAAGAGCCAUAAAUCUGUGAAAGUUGCAGGAGAUGCACACAGAAGUACAUAUCAACACGAGAAGAACAAUUUCGAACCACAGAUCAUGCGUCACCGGGCAGAAUCAUACAUGGCAGGGACAAGGUUUCAAGCUGAGACAACUAAUAAGCUGGCAAGCUUUGAUGCCAGAGUACAAGGGCAUGCUCUUGCACAGGGACGAAGCCAGAAAUUUAACUAAGAGCCCACCUUAAAAUAUUUGAGCUGCUUUUUUGGACAAAUAAAACUAGUUCUUUUACAAAUGCUGAAAAAAUUAAUUUCAAAAUGCCUAAUUUUAUUACUCUAUUGUCUAAUUUUGUCUUUAAUUAUUGACAAUCUAAUGCUCAUUUGUACUAAUUAACCAAAUACAUGCAACUCAACAAGAUUUAGACAUUAAUGCGUGAGAAAAAUAUUCAGGAGGGAGGCGCAUUUAAAAACUAAAAGAGGAUUUUCACUAUUUUAAUAUGAUUAAUUGAAUAAUCUGCAUACCAAAAAAGAUGGAAAUGAUUAAUCGAAUAAUUUGUAAUGCAGAAAAAAUGGGAUGAGAGGGGACAUGUGCCCCCAUUGGGCCUUACCUCCCUCCGUCCAUGCUCUUGCAGCACGGCCGCUUCCUUGUUCACAUUCACCACAUGCUUCACAUCUUUUUGUUCAUGUAGUCAAGUAAAUCUAUUUAUUGAUGUAGUAUAUAUAGUAUAUGGACCAUAAUUUUCUCUAGUAGUAGUGAUUAAUUCCAAAGGCUGCUUAAGUUUUAGAGUACGGCAAUGUAUCACAUACCUUACAGAAUUUAACGGCUGGAUGUGCAUUAAAGAAUUUAAAAGGUAUAUCUAAAUCACUUAAAAGUUAGAAGGCAAUGCAUACCAUACAUUGUCACACUUGCCAUAAUAAACUCCACAAUACCUAGUGUACGACAUACAAAACUAAAUUUAAUGUAAGACAUAUAUUAUUGAAUUUAAU
rnacentral:lncRNA from 1 species